rnacentral:lncRNA from 1 species
ACGAUAUCGAUACUUAGUUGACCCUUCUGAAAACGGCUUAGUUGUACUGGAUCCAGUCUCCACGGGGAACGCAUCCCUAAGAAUUAUCGUCAUCACCAACCAUUAUUAGAGGUCAAAGUAAACCAGCGGGCCUGUACAUUUCAGAGCUUGACCGUAAAUUACGUCUUCAAAAAUCAGGGAGAAAAAAAGGGUGGAUCUGGCGGGAGAUUCUCCCAGGCUGUCGUGGCAGACCGUGACAUUGGUACUAUGGGCACUAUGCCCCGAGAAAAGAGUGGUUCGUCCUAUCUCAUCGCUCAAAGUGCAAGCCACUGAUUGGAGCGGCUUAUUGCGGAGGGGGAUGAGAUUUUAAUCCUUUUGUUCGUCCAGUAAACUCAUUUAGAGGCGUGCAGUUCAUUUCAAUUUCACCAAAUUAAGGAGUCUGAAUUGUAUCCUACUCGGGAGGUUAGGGUUUGGUCGGUCGGUUGCCCUCGGUCGUCCAAUCAGUUCGUAGAUCUUGGCGUGAUGGUUUUCACCGAAACGCUGCUUCGGACUGCUCCAAGCCGAGUCGUUUAUUAGCAGGAUGCCGAAUCUCGGCUUUUAUUUUUUAUACUGGGCAAAAGGGCAUGACUAGCUGACCGACUUAUGGGUGUUUGCCGUGUCUGUGAAGCAAAUGAUCCUAAACGGCAGUCCUGCCACAUCGUAAGCAAUGCACGGCACAACACCUAACGAACGCAACAGACUAACACGACGGACUACCACAAAGUAUGGCAGCACGGCUCGUGCAUGGUUGGUUAUAGGGCAUGAGUUAUAGGGCAUGGAUCCAUUUCUGUAGCACGCCAGUCAUGAACCGAGGACUCGGACAGUAAUCAAAUCACACACUACUUAAUAGUACCAGGUAUAUCACGGAUUGGCGAGAAGAGAGUACGAGACCCAUAAAAGUGGAUGGGUGGUGGACACCUUGGUGUUUUCUUGCAUGAAUGUAUGUUUGCCUGUGCUGUAUUGUUCAUUAGGAGGGUCGAUCUGUGCAUAUUUGCCUCGUUAUGCUUGCCCUUGCCAACGAGGUAGUCAGUUAUCAGAGGCAUUUAUCCAGAAUGAUACUUAUCUCGGAAGUUUUCUACUGGGACUUGGUGGGCAAAGCAACGCCUCGAACGCAUGAACACACUGCAUGUGAGCCAAGUGGAUAUAGAGGCGCCGCCACUACGAGAUCUGAAGGGCGCCACAAAUACUAAGGCCCAUACCAAGACCCUAGCAGUACCUAGCAGUACCUAGCAGCACCUAGAGAAGCCCUAACGGCCCUAGGGGAGACUAAUGCUAGGCUAACGCUUCCACUAGGAAUAAUGCUAGAACCACCUGCAGCACGCCGUCGAGGAACGGGCACGGGCUACGAUAAGCGAUAAAUUAUGAUAGUACGUACCACAGAGUUCUCUGAAUUUGAUUGCACAUACAUAGUACGUACUACGUACUGCAUGCACUACAUAGAUUAGGAUGCACGCAUGGGAGGGGCAAAGUAGCCAUCCGAUUACCGCCACUGCGGGACACUUCUUCUCUUAGUCUAUUACUCCCACGUAGUCAACUCAUAGCAGUCCAUACGGAGUACGUACUAUGUACUCGGAGAGC